UUACGGCUAUAUCACAUUGAAACUCCCAUUCUCAUACGAUCACCGAGGUUAAGCAACGUCUAUCCUGGUCAGUACCUAGAUGAGCAACCGCUUGGGAAUGCCAGGUACUGUAA